rnacentral:rRNA from 1 species
AACGAACGCUGGCGGCAGGCUUAACACAUGCAAGUCGAGCGCCCCGCAAGGGGAGCGGCAGACGGGUGAGUAACGCGUGGGAAUCUACCCAUCACUACGGAACAACUCCGGGAAACUGGAGCUAAUACCGUAUACGUCCUUCGGGAGAAAGAUUUAUCGGUGAUGGAUGAGCCCGCGUUGGAUUAGCUAGUUGGUGGGGUAAUGGCCUACCAAGGCGACGAUCCAUAGCUGGUCUGAGAGGAUGAUCAGCCACACUGGGACUGAGACACGGCCCAGACUCCUACGGGAGGCAGCAGUGGGGAAUAUUGGACAAUGGGCGAAAGCCUGAUCCAGCCAUGCCGCGUGAGUGAUGACGGCCCUAGGGUUGUAAAAUUCUUUUACCAGGGACGAUAAUGACGGUACCUGGAGAAAAAGCCCCGGCUAACUUCGUGCCAGCCGCCGCCGUAAGAC